CAGUAGCCGCGGUAAUACGAAGGGUGCAAGCGUUACUCGGAAUUACUGGGCGUAAAGCGUGCGUAGGUGGUGGUUUAAGUCCGUUGUUAAAGCCCUGGGCUCAACCUGGGAAUUGCAGUGGAUACUGGGUCACUAGAGUGUGGUAGAGGAUAGUGGAAUUUCCGGUGUAGCAGUGAAAUGCGUAGAGAUCGGAAGGAACAUCUGUGGCGAAGGCGACUAUCUGGGCCAACACUGACACUGAGGCACGAAAGCGUGGGGAGCAAACAGGAUUAGAUACCCGCGUAGUUCCUGUCUCUUAUAC
rnacentral:rRNA from 1 species